rnacentral:rRNA from 1 species
AGCAGCCGCGGUAAUUCCAGCUCCAAUAGCGUAUAUUAAAGUUGUUGCAGUUAAAAAGCUCGUAGUUGAAUUUCGGGGUCAGCAGGUUGGUCGUGCCAAUGGUAUGAACUGGCCUUGCUGAUUCCUCCCUCUUGAUGAGCCGUAAUGCCAUUAAUUUGGUGUUGCGGGGAAUCAGGACUGUUACUUUGAAAAAAUUAGAGUGUUUAAAGCAGGCAAGCGCUUGAAUACAUUAGCAUGGAAUAAUGAAAUAGGACGUUUGAUCCUAUUUUGUUGGUUUCUAGGAUUGACGUAAUGAUUAAUAGGGAUAGUUGGGGGCAUUAGUAUUCAAUUGUCAGAGGUGAAAUUCUUGGAUUUAUUGAAGACUGACUACUGCGAAAGCAUUUGCCAAGGAUGUUUUCAUUAAUCAAGAACGAAAGUUAGGGGAUCGAAGACGAUCAGAUACCGUCGUAGUCUUAACCAUAAACUAUGCCGACUAGGGAUCGGAUGAUGUUAAUUUUUUAAUGACUCA